rnacentral:rRNA from 1 species
GUCUAUGGCCAUACCACCCUGAAUGAGCCUGAUCUCCUCUGAUCUUGGAAGCUAAGCAGGGUCGGGCCUGGUUAGUACUUGGAUGGGCGAACUUUACAUAUUGCAAACUGCUGUGAUUA